GACGAACGCUGGCGGCGUGCUUAACACAUGCAAGUCGAACGAAGAGCGAUGGAAGCUUGCUUCUAUCAAUCUUAGUGGCGAACGGGUGAGUAACGCGUAAUCAACCUGCCCUUCAGAGGGGGACAACAGUUGGAAACGACUGCUAAUACCGCAUACGAUCUAAUCUCGGCAUCGAGGAUAGAUGAAAGGUGGCCUCUACAUGUAAGCUAUCACUGAAGGAGGGGAUUGCGUCUGAUUAGCUAGUUGGAGGGGUAACGGCCCACCAAGGCGAUGAUCAGUAGCCGGUCUGAGAGGAUGAACGGCCACAUUGGGACUGAGACACGGCCCAGACUCCUACGGGAGGCAGCAGUGGGGAAUCUUCCGCAAUGGACGAAAGUCUGACGGAGCAACGCCGCGUGAGUGAUGACGGCCUUCGGGUUGUAAAGCUCUGUUAAUCGGGACGAAAGGCCUUCUUGCGAAUGGUGAGAAGGAUUGACGGUACCGGAAUAGAAAGCCACGGCUAACUACGUG
rnacentral:rRNA from 1 species